GUGACUCCGCCCUUCUGAGCAAAGAGGUGCAGGGGUCCCACUGCCACCGGGGAGGUACCCCACCAUCGCGCUCGGCCGCGCGCCCUGCAGCCCAGGCGCUCGCACACGCGCGCUCUCCACGCGCGCCGUCCGCCUCCGGAGGCCGCCCACUCGGACGCGCGUGGGGAGCACGCGGGCAUCGGCGGCUGCGCGGCGGCCGCUCCUCGGCGGCGUAGCGGAUAAGCUCCCGGGAGGAUGCCUCGGUACGGGGCGCGUCGCCCCCCUCAGGCCACCAGAGCCCGGAUACCUCAGAAAUUCGGCUCUGGGUCUGUGGGGAGCGAAAUGCAACCCAAACCCCGUUUCCCCGAAGCACCGCGCAGAUAAACACGCACAAGCACGCACACAGACGUCGUCGGCCCGCACUCGCAGCCGCAGGUCCCGGCCUGAGGGAAGAGGCCGGGGCCCAAGAUGGCUCGCCGCCUUCGCCUCGCAGCCCCGGGCGCGGCCGCUCGCCCUCGCCGCUCGCUCGCAGGUGCGACGGAAGUGCCCGGCGUCACCGGCCCGGAGCGACGGCGCAACGGCCGGUCUGGGCCUGCAGCCUCGGUGGCCCGGGCCGGACGGGAGCGGCCGCCGGACACAGCCGGCCUGCUCUCAACAGCGUCUUCUGAAAACAGUGGAGUAGGCAAAAGGACAGGAUGUUUGCAGACCUAGGUGUUCUUUAUGACCUCACCAACUGAGAACUAGCAGAGAUUGAGGAAGUCACACAACAGGAAUCCAAGGAGAAACUGUUACUAAGGGAAAAUCGAGUUCCCCAACACUUAUUGCAUAUUCUACAGUUACUUGACUUGGAGGCAGAACACCAUGACCAGGAAAGCAUGGAACAAAGCAGGUGACACCAGCAGACAGAAAACGGGCAGAGGCUGCAGUGUAGACCAUGGACUGAAGCUAUUGAAGACCCAAAAGAAAGAAAAUGUUGAGAGGUGGAAUGAGCUUGGUGGUUGAAGAGAUGGCUGAAGAUUCACACUUGAGCUGUUUCCCAAAACUAAGUGCUGCAGGAGAGCAGAAGCAGCUACCUAGCCUGCCAGAGACAUGCUGUUUCUAGGCUAGGGUGACUGCUGACACAAGGAAGCAAAAAAAUUAAAAAUACUGGAGCGUGUGAUAAUGAUGAGUUCAGAUAACGCAUGGGUUGAGUUUUCGGUCCCUGGGACAUGCUGGAGAUGUACUGUUGGUACGUAGACAUGACAGAACAUGAUGAAUGUUCUCAGAAUGGAAGAACAUGACAAAGAAAAGUUGGAGGUGUGAAAAGAAGGAAAGACUUAACUCUAAGGAGAGACUCAGGCUUUGGACUACUGCUCUUUUGGAAGAUUUAAAAUAAACUUUGAAUGUUAAUAGGUGACUAAGUUAUUUUUAGGUGAUUUCAUUUACUUUAUGGAAUUAUUUUGUUCAACAUUCCCUACUUUGCUACAACUUAAAUGGAACAUAACCCUGUUAUUAAACUUAAGGGAGGAAAGGUUUAUUUUGGCUUUGUUCCAUAGGUUGUCAUAUGUGGUCACAUGGCAAGAAUUCCACACCAGGAAAGAAAUGUGCAGAACCAAAGAUAGCCACCUCUUGGCUGCAAAGAAGAAAAGGUAAAGAGGCCAGGGACUUAAUUCCCUCUUGCAAGGACUUGUCCCCAAAGACUCGAUUUACUAGGGCCCAGCUCCUAAUGGUCUUAUCACUUCACAUUAGGCCUUUGAGGUAGUUAAGACAAACUAUAAGUUGCUAAUAAAAAAAGUUUUCAAAAGGUCAAAUAAGUCAACGGAGACAAAGUAUUAAUGGAAAUGUAACGAGUCAAUACUCAAAAAUGUUAUUGCUUUGAAGCAGAGUUAUUCGGCCCUCUAGCAUUCACAGGACAGAAAAAUCAUAGAGCAAGUUUGCCCCUUGAAUCUUAGUCAAGGAAUGUUUACCAAGAGUAUACUGCUAAGUGUGUAAAGAAACUUUUCCCCCUCUCCUCCCGCCUGCCAUUAUCACAGAGGCAACGCGUAUUACUCAAAUACUUCUGUUUUAAUAAAGGAAGCAUAGAUGCUAGGUUGCUUAUGACUCUAAACAGUGAAAGUAAAAUGUUGACUUAAUAGUUACUGAAAUAUAAAUAACACAAAAGAGCUACAGCCAAGAAGCACCAAUAGGUCUCGACAGCACUCCUUGGGUACCAAAAAGCAGGUCAGGUCCAGGGCCUACCUAAGCCCUGGUAAACUGAGUCAUUUGACCUACUAGCCAGUGAAAAUCCUGUUUAAUCCUGUUUUGUUUAGAACAAAAUUAAUCAUUCAUCCCAUUCCAGUUGCUAAGAAAAACUCUCCUCUCGCAUCUUUACCCGGUUUUCCUAGGAGGCCUCAGUUGCUUCAGGCUUGUUUGAUGUUCACAUAGUUCUUUGUUUCUGCUUCAGGAAUACUUUUACUCACACAGCGUAGCUUGUACACGGGAAGAACCAGGCAUGUAUGUGUGUAUGAGCCGUGUCUGCAUCCUGGCACUUUUAUAACUGAG
ensembl:lncRNA